UUUCCCCUCUCUUUCUCUUUAUCUAUUCCUCUUUUCUACCUAGUCUAGGGGAUUUAGUCGAUGGUUUAGAUUUCUUGUCUAUGAACCUAGUUUGACUCAAGUAUGGUGUUAUGAAUUGUCAAUUUUUACUUUAUAAUUUUUGCUAAUAAGUGGACCUCAUUUUUUAGAGGAGCAAUAAUUUAAUUGGGCAUGAAGACCUUGGCAGGGUACUCU
rnacentral:lncRNA from 1 species